AUUGAACGCUGGCGGCAGGCCUAACACAUGCAAGUCGAACGAGUGGCGGACGGGUGAGUAAUGUCUGGGAAACUGCCUGAUGGAGGGGGAUAACUACUGGAACAGGUAGCUAAUACCGCAUACCAUCGGAUGUGCCCAGAUGGGAUUAGCUAGUAGGUGGGGUAACGGCUCACCUAGGCGACGAUCCCUAGCUGGUCUGAGAGGAUGACCAGCAAAACGGGAACUGAGACACGUUCCAGAUUCCUACGGGAGGGAGCAGUGGGGAAAAUUGCACAACGGGCGCAAGCCUGAUGCGUCCGUGCCGCGUGUAUGACGAAUGCCGUCCGGUUGUAAAGUUCUUUCAGCGGGGAGGCGUUACCCGCAGUGGACGCAGCGGCUAAGUCCGUGCCAGCCGCCGCGGUAAUAC
rnacentral:rRNA from 1 species